rnacentral:rRNA from 1 species
GACGAACGCUGGCGGCGUGCCUAAUGCAUGCAAGUCGAGCGGACGGAUGGGAGCUUGCUCCCAGACCGUCAGCGGCGGACGGGUGAGUAACACGUGGGCAACCUGCCUGUAAGGCUGGGAUAACUCCGGGAAACCGGGGCUAAUACCGGAUAACUCUUUCCCUCACAUGAGGGAAAGCUGAAAGAUGGCAUCUCGCUAUCACUUACAGAUGGGCCCGCGGCGCAUUAGCUAGUUGGUGAGGUAACGGCUCACCAAGGCGACGAUGCGUAGCCGACCUGAGAGGGUGAUCGGCCACACUGGGACUGAGACACGGCCCAGACUCCUACGGGAGGCAGCAGUAGGGAAUCUUCCGCAAUGGACGAAAGUCUGACGGAGCAACGCCGCGUGAGUGAUGAAGGUUUUCGGAUCGUAAAACUCUGUUGUCAGGGAAGAACAAGUACCGGAGUAACUGCCGGUACCUUGACGGUACCUGACCAGAAAGCCACGGCUAACUACGUG